rnacentral:lncRNA from 1 species
UUGGGAGUGUUAUCUUUACCAGUAUUGAUGAUGUUUUUCCAUCUGUCAAGGAAUUUUAGGAAUGUGAGAUGAGAUUGAAAGGAUCUGCAUAUACAGAAAGAACUCUGAGGAAGUUGGAAUCCUGUGGGCUAGUUAUUUCUUGAUUCUUAAUACUUAGGGAAAAAAAACUCCUUUAGUCACUAAUAUGAUAUAUGCAGUUGGUUUAUUUUCUAAGAUGCGACAUGCACUUAUUGUGUUUAAAAUCCUCUCAGGAGGAAAGUUCACCAUCUGUACAGUUGAGGAUGAGGGAAAAGAUCUCAGUUUGAUCCUAAAGGUACAGACUAUAGGAUUUUUUUUAGGGGGAUUGAACUCAGGGACACUCGACUACUGAGCCACAUCCACAGCCUUAUUUCGUAUUUUAUUUAGAGACAGGGUCUCACUGAGUUGCUAAGUGCCUUGCUUUUACUGAGGCUGGCUUUGAACUCAUGAUCCUCCUGCCUCAGCCCCCGAGGGUGCUGGGAUUGCAGGUGUGCGCCACUGUGCCCAGCCAGACUGUAGGAUUUGGACUUGUCCAAGGAUACCAAGAUGGAUGGUCAAGAUUGUCACCCAAAGUUUGUGCACUGGAGGGGUUGGAAUACCUGAAACAAAAUUGAACCCCUCACCCCACACCAUAGCACGCCACACCCAAGACAGCAGCAGCAGUGACAGCCACAGCUCACAUCCUAAUGUGUGGUCAGCAAAGACUUGAUCCAGUCAAACUGCCAAGGCCUGCAGAGGGGAUCAGUGCUUUGAAGUCGUUUUGUCAUUUGGAAUAUACCUGGACUAUCAAACCUCAUAC